CUACCCAUAUGGGUUUCUAUGCUGUGCAGGACAGCAGCUGUGUAUAUUCAUAGCAUGUUUAUUUUGUCAUUUGUAGUUGUAGUUGUAGUUCUUUAUACACUGUGAAGAAAUGCAUAUUAAAGUUCAACUAAAAUAUAAUCCACUCUACAAAGCUAUAACUGCCAAUAUUUGUGAAGAUAAGCAAUAACUGUGACGUAUAAUAAGACUUACCACUGUAUCCGAAAUCCAACACCCAUGUAUCUACAAACUGAGAUCUUUUCCAUUCUUUCUCUCAGUGUACUGGACCUGAGUGAUAAUAUAUCACUGAUGAAUGGAAGACGACAGCUAUCAGUCUAUACCUACUUCAUUCAUCCGUUUUUGUCACAUUACAACACUUCAGGUACUUAAAAAUCCAUCUUUAGUCAUGUAUGUUGGGAGUAUAUGUGUAAUUUUCAAAAUUUUAGACUCAGUUUUCCUUUGGAACUUAUGAUUUCCCCGUUUAAUACAAAAGUUUUUUGUUCUUAAUUUUAGAUCCAAGCUGCAUUUCCCAAACAAACAACAGCCUGGACUGGUUGAUAAAAAAUUUUGGGAAAUUUUCAGUCUUUGUGCCUGUACAUGACUUUUUUGACAUGUACACAAAUUUCUCAGCGUUGGAAGCCCUGGAAAUUCUCACACCAAAGCAGAUGGCAGAAAUGAUUCUAUUGCCCUUGACUGGACCAGCAGACAAAAACGUCAUCAACGCAGUUUUCAACUACUUGCUGGAAUCUCCCCGGGAAAGAAAUCUUAAUGAAGUUUUGAAUUUCCUUGCUAUGUUGUCCACAGAGGUAAAAACCUCAGUAAGAUUUAACACAUUUAAAUAGUUGCACAGCACCUAUUAGGGAUUUAAAAAAGUGCAGUAGUGCUCAUUGCAGUUUAAAAAAAAGGAAAGAAAAAAACAUCUGUACCUUGAUUUGAGAACGUUUAGAUUUUCAUUUAUGCAAACCCAUUGUAUUUAUACAUUUAAAUGUGAUUUAUCAUCAAUAUUUUCCCUGGCACAUAUACUUCUGUUGGCAUUUCAGGC
rnacentral:lncRNA from 1 species